UUNAUUGGUGCUUGCAUCAUGAUUUACAUUUGAGUGAGUGGCGAACUGGUGAGUAACACGUGGGAAACCUGCCCAGAAGCGGGGGAUAACACCUGGAAACAGAUGCUAAUACCGCAUAACAACUUGGACCGCAUGGUCCGAGCUUGAAAGAUGGCUUCGGCUAUCACUUUUGGAUGGUCCCGCGGCGUAUUAGCUAGAUGGUGGGGUAACGGCUCACCAUGGCAAUGAUACGUAGCCGACCUGAGAGGGUAAUCGGCCACAUUGGGACUGAGACACGGCCCAAACUCCUACGGGAGGCAGCAGUAGGGAAUCUUCCACAAUGGACGAAAGUCUGAUGGAGCAACGCCGCGUGAGUGAAGAAGGGUUUCGGCUCGUAAAACUCUGUUGUUAAAGAAGAACAUAUAUCUGAGAGUAACUGUUCAGGUAUUGACGGUAUUUAACCAGAAAGCCACGGCUAACUACGUGCCAGCAGCCGCGGUCAUACGUA
rnacentral:rRNA from 2 species